CAGCUGAACCAGGCCAAGUCCUCUGUCAUCCCGAUGAACUGCGAUGCCCAGACGCUGGAGGAUGUGUUGCAUGGCUUCGGUGGCGCGAUCACCAGCUUUCCCACCUCCUACCUAGGGCUGCCAAUAUCCCCGAAGAGGUUGUGGAUCAUGCACUUCCAAUUCCUCAUCGAUCGGAUCAAAUCGCGCCUCGCUGGUUGGAAGGGAAAGCUUAUGUCCCUGGCCGGCCGACGCGUCCUAUUGCGUACGGUCCUCUUCGCCUUGCCCACACUCUCGAUGCUCAAGGUGCCCAAGAAAGUUUUGAACGAAAUUAACAAAGUGAGGCGACACUUCUUGUGGGCGCAAGAUGAAGCGUUGACGGGCGGCAAGUGCAAAGUGGCAUGGAGCUCUGUCUGCUCUCCGACGGAGAAGGGCGGGCUAGGGCUCCCUCUGCAGCUCUUCGGCUCCGCCCUGCGGUUGCGGUGGCUAUGGCUGGCCUGGCAGCAGCCGCUGAGACCCUAG
rnacentral:rRNA from 1 species